UCUUCUUUGGUUCCUUCACGCGAGAAUUCCAGCCUACCACCGCCUGUGGCAGCGGCCGCUAGGGCCAGGGCCUGAUGGCUAGGUUGUGCGCUGGACCCUGCGGCGCGGCGGAGCAUGGUGACCGGGAGCCGGCAGGAAGAGGCACCGGGCGUUUCUCCUCGGCCGCCGCAUAGGCCGCUAUCGAUGCCUCCCCGUUAUUUGCCUUUGAUCUUCCGUUUCUCGUUCUGGAUCUUGAUGAUUUUGUGUUUUUUGUUGGAUGAAUCUAGUCAUUGGGUGCUGUUGCUCGCAAGCUGCUGCCAUGGAAGAUCCCGGAGGAAGAUUGACGCCAGCGGAUGCCGAUCUUGUACAGAGCGAUCGAGGAUCCCGCCCCACAGCGCUGACCUGACGGCCUACCCUGCACCUGCCAGUAGCCUCACUCACGUGGGCGUUACAGUUCGUCUCGCCCGUCUAUACCCAGGAGGCCAGGACGCCAAAUUUCCAAAUUUCCAGAAUUGGCGGCGGUGAGGGACUGGUGGCUGGACUGCGCGCUCGGCGCCGUGGAGCAUGGUGGCCGGAGCAGCAGAUGCGGGUUCCGCAGUGGUGAUGGCUGCAGCCAUGGGACGUUAGGGUGAUCUCGGUGGGAGAUUGAGGCCAGCGCGGAUGCUGAUCUUCUCUGGAGUCCCAUGAGAUUUGCCUUAAACUGUUGGAUCUAGACAUCUAGUGCACAUUCUAUGGUCAGAGCUGCCGCCUUUUAGCAGGUGGAACUGAAACUUGUACCCAAGUUUCCAUGUCCAUGACAGCACCGUAGAAAAACUUUUCUUUUUGUUAGAAGAUAGGAGGAAUCUUGAGUCUAACUUGAAGCUUGGCCACAAGAGCUAACAUAGUCUGAAUAAUUAAUAUAGUACUCCCUCCGUCCCACAAUAUAAGAAUGUUUUCGACACUACUAGUGUCGAAAACAUUCUUAUAUUGUGGGACGGAGGGAGUACAUGGAAUUGAUUCUGCAAGAUUCUUGGUAGGUGGCAUAGAAACUAGCAAGACCGAAGGCAGUUGCCAUCAGCAGAAAGACAAGCGUUGUCAUUUUCUCUUACAUAGACACUCAAUGAAAGCUUAAUCUUAGUUAUCA